UACGUAGGUGGCGAGCGUUGUCCGGAAUUACUGGGCGUAAAGAGCGCGCAGGCGGCUGGUCAAGUCCGACGUGAAAUCUCCCGGCUUAACUGGGAAAUUGCAUCGGAAACUGAUCGGCUUGAAGGUGGGAGAGGGUAGCGGAAUUCCCGGUGUAGUGGUGAAAUGCGUAGAUAUCUGGAGGAACACCGGUGGCGAAGGCGGCAUCCUGGACCGGCAUUGACGCUGAGGCGCGAAAGCCAGGGGAGCAAACGGG
rnacentral:rRNA from 1 species